GUUGGUAUCUUCAAAGUUCGGGACAUCAGCAUUUGUACAUUUUAAUUUGUUUGGAAUAUUUAUUUUACCAUUUGAAAAUUCAUUGUUAUUUGGAGCUGUAUUGGAUUGGAUUGUUUGAAUGAAUGUUUUUUUAAUAAUGAUAUUUUUUGUCUAUUUCGAUAUUACCCAUGUGGAUAGGCUAUAGCAGUGUGACCUAAAGGGCGGAUCCAGCCGUUUUUAAAAAGGGG
rnacentral:lncRNA from 1 species